rnacentral:rRNA from 1 species
AACGAACGCUGGCGGCAUGCCUAACACAUGCAAGUCGAACGAGACCUUCGGGUCUAGUGGCGCACGGGUGCGUAACGCGUGGGAACCUGCCUUUAGGUUCGGAAUAACUCAGAGAAAUUUGAGCUAAUACCGGAUGAUGUCUUCGGACCAAAGAUUUAUCGCCUUUAGAUGGGCCCGCGUUGGAUUAGCUAGUUGGUGGGGUAAAGGCCUACCAAGGCGACGAUCCAUAGCUGGUCUGAGAGGAUGAUCAGCCACACUGGGACUGAGACACGGCCCAGACUCCUACGGGAGGCAGCAGUGGGGAAUAUUGGACAAUGGGCGAAAGCAUGAUCCAGCAAUGCCGCGUGAGUGAUGAAGGCAUUAGGGUUGUAAAGCUCUUUUACCCGAGAUGAUAAUGACGGUAUCGGGAGAAUAAGCUCCGGCUAACUCCGUG